rnacentral:rRNA from 1 species
CGACGCGGUGUCCCGGCCGGCCCGCUCGACGGUGUGCAGUGGCGGUGGGCCGCCUAUAAUAGAGAGGCGUCCGACCCGCCGCAAGCUCGGCGAAGUUCCGCGGGCUCGGACCUGGUGCCGACCCCGGGACCGUCCGGCUGUUGGCGGCGGAGUUCUCGGACAGACCCGGAACACGCCCGUCGGCGACGCUAUAGCUUUGGGUACUUUCAGGACCCGUCUUGAAACACGGACCAAGGAGUCUAGCAUGUGCGCGAGUCAUUGGGAUUCGUUGCUAAACCUAAAGGCGAAAUGAAAGUGAAGGCGCGCCUCGCGCGCGCCUAGGGAGGAUGGGCGAGGGCAUUUUUCCUACUCGCCCCGCACUCCCGGGGCGUCUCGUUCUCAUAGCGAGAAGAGGCGCACCCAGAGCGUACACGCUGGGACCCGAAAGAUGGUGAACUAUGCCUGGUCAGGACGAAGUCAGGGGAAACCCUG